GCCACAUUCCAACUGGCAGCAAGCACUUACUUUGAACUUGGCCCUAUCCUAGGUGACAGGUGGGCAGUGGUCAACAAAGGAGAGACAGCGCUUGUCCUCAUAGAGUUCAGAAUCGGGAGGAAGGACCAGUCAGUCUAUUAACAGGCACUUAGCAAAUAGUGACUUCAUGACAGUUACAGGGAAUGCUAGGAGGGAAAACCCGCGGGUGCUAGGAAAAUGUGCAAUGGAGGGAUGCACGCAGUCGGGGGGCCAGGAUCUGCUCCCCAGGAAACGGCGCUGAGAGGAGGACAGUGUCGCCAGGCUAGGAGGGUGAGGGCGUCAGCGGAGAGAACGGCCUGCGUGGGGGCUGGUGGGCGGAGCGGGUGGAUCUUGGCAAACGGCAGGAAUGGAAACGGCUGGAGCAUAUGUCUCAGUGACAUCGCCACGGAAAUGAGAAAGAGAACCUGCCAUUCUCACUGACUGCUCUCUUAUCUCCCCACAGGGAAUACAUUCAUGAACUACCCAAGGCCAAUGCCCUGUUUGUAUAAGGCAUGUUCCCCAUACCUGGUUUCUGGCUACCACCUUAUAAGAAGAAAGCUGUGACAGCUCACAGCCCCCAGCCCCCUUUGCUGAAUUGGGUACUUCUUCACUACGUUCUAGCAACUUCUAUGGCAUCCUCAUUAAAAGCCCAGAUUCUGGAUUCA